GACGAACCGUGCGAACGUUGUUCGGAUUCACUGGGCGUAAAGGGCUCGUAGGCGGUUUGUCGCGUCGGGAGUGAAAACCUCGGGCUUAACUCGGGGCUUGCUUUCGAUACGGGCAGACUGGAGUACUGCAGGGGAGACUGGAAUUCCUGGUGUAGCGGUGGAAUGCGCAGAUAUCAGGAGGAACACCGGUGGCGAAGGCGGGUCUCUGGGCAGUAACUGACGCUGAGGAGCGAAAAGCGUGGGGAGCGAACAGG
rnacentral:rRNA from 1 species